CGUAAAGGGCUCGCAGGCGGUUUCUUAAGUCUGAUGUGAAAGCCCCCGGCUCAACCGGGGAGGGUCAUUGGAAACUGGGGAACUUGAGUGCAGAAGAGGAGAGUGGAAUUCCACGUGUAGCGGUGAAAUGCGUAGAGAUGUGGAGGAACACCAGUGGCGAAGGCGACUCUCUGGUCUGUAACUGACGCUGAGGAGCGAAAGCGUGGGGAGCGAACAGGAUUAGAUACCCUGGUAGUCCACGCCGUAAACGAUGAGUGCUAAGUGUUAGGGGGUUUCCGCCCCUUAGUGCUGCAGCUAACGCAUUAAGCACUCCGCCUGGGGAGUACGGUCGCAAGACUGAAACUCAAAGGAAUUGACGGGGGCCCGCACAAGCGGUGGAGCAUGUGGUUUAAUUCGAAGCAACGCGAAGAACCUUACCAGGUCUUGACAUCCUCUGACAAUCCUAGAGAUAGGACGUCCCCUUCGGGGGCAGAGUGACAGGUGGUGCAUGGUUGUCGUCAGCUCGUGUCGUGAGAUGUUGGGUUAAGUCCCGCAACGAGCGCAACCCUUGAUCUUAGUUGCCAGCAUUCAGUUGGGCACUCUCCAGUGACUGCCGGUGACACACCGGAGGAAGGUGGGGAUGAC
rnacentral:rRNA from 1 species